GGCAAAUCUCAGACACAACAAGGACAAUGGUUCUGUGAGCAACAAGAAAACUGAAGACUAGGACCUUCUGAACUACUGACUGUGUUGAAACUGACUGCAUUAGUCUGAUGACAAAACAGAAAAACAAACAAGGCCCUCGCUCUCCAUUCAACAGGAUUCUCUCUCUUUUUCAAAGCACUUCUGUAAUGGAGUCAGAGACCUUGCUGUUUGAGGACAAACGUUCCAGACUGGC